rnacentral:lncRNA from 1 species
AAAUUGCAUAUGUAUAUAUAGAGAGAGAGUUAAGCUGAAAUACUAUUAAUAAGCAAACGGUGUCUGUUACCACCCAUUUAUUUUCGAUGAUUAAGCCUCCGAUUCGACGAUCAGCACUGUUGAACAUGGUUUAUAUCACUUGAAGUAUUUAAAAACUAAAUUUUAAAUCUUUUCGAUAUUAUUAGCUCAAUGAUCAAAGGAUUUCAAAAUUUUUAAUUUUAAUGGUCGAUAUAAGGUGUUUUCUCGUUUAGCAGUGUAAAGAUAGCCAAAUCAAUUGAAUUUUUGUUAGAAAAUUCUUUAAACUAUUUAGAACAAGAUCUAUACUCUUGAUCUUGAUUAUAAGACUCCUAUCAUUACUUUUUAAAAAAUAUUUAUAUUUUCAGCUAUUCACUUGAUGGACAAGAGAAUAAUAUCGAAAAAAUAUAAAAUUUGGUUUCUAAAUGCUUCAAGUGGUAUAGAUUGUGUUCAAUAGUGCCGAUCGUCCAUUUGGAGAUUCCAUCAUUAGAGAUAAAUGGACGACAAUAGAACUUGUUUACUAGUGAUAGUAUUCAAACUCAACUCUAUAUAUAUAUAAAUAAUGAAGAUGCUGAAGAAGUAAUCCAAACUUAAUUAGAAUUUAACUAAGAGUUAAAGUCCAGUAGAGGUAAGAUUAUCCAAAUCAUAUUUUGUCAUAUUUAAAAGUCUACAUAGUUAGAAAAGUCUUUGUGUGAAAUGUAUAGGUGUAUGGCUAAUAUGAUAUAACUUACUCUUGGGAUAUUUGUCCUUAUCAAUAAUACUAGUAUUAUAGCUUACAUAUAAGAAUUGGUUGUAUUGGUUACUGUUUUAUCUUUCUCCUCUAAUAUAUUUUAUUCAUAUUAUUUUAUUUUAGUAUUUUAAAUUUUUUAGUUAAAUAAUUAGAGAGAGCGAGAGAGUUGCCACCUAUUUGUUGUCGAUGAUGAAACCUUCAAAUGGACACAAAAAUAAAUAUCCGGUACGUCAAUAAUUAAAUGGACACAAAAAUUUAAUUUUUAACAUAAAAAUUAAAUUUUAUGUUUUUUCGAUAUUAUUCUCUUGUCCAUCAAGUAGACACAAAAAUAAAUAGUUGAAAAUAAAUAUCCUUCAAAACUGAUAAUACGAGUCUCGUAAUCAGAUCAAGUGUAUAAAUCUUGUUUUAAAUAUUUCAACAAAUUUUCUAACCAAAAUUCAAUUGAUCUAUAUAUAUAUCUUCACGCCGUUGAACCAAAAAACGAUUCGUAUUAACCAAAAAACGAUUCGUAUUAACCAUUAAAAUUAUAAAUUUUGAAAUCUUUUGAUCAUUAGGCAAAUGUUGUGGAAAGAUUUGAAAUUUGGUUUCUAAAAACUUCAAGUGACAUAGAUCAUAUUCAACGACGUCGAUCAUCAAUUUAAAGACUCCAUCAUCGAAAAUAAAUAGGUGGCAAUAAAUCUCGUUUAUUACUAAUAAAUUUGGUUUCUAAAUACUUCAAGGAAUAGCGCAGAUCAACUGGCCGGUCUUGUGGUGGGCUGCAGGACCGAUAUAGCGGUAGGCUGCAAGACCCCGCGACGUUGCGGAUAUAAAAAAUAUUUUAAUAAUAAAUUUUAGUUUAUAUUUUUAUAUUUUUAUAUAAUUUUAUUAGUCUAAUUAUUAAUUAAAUAA